AUACGGAGGGUGCGAGCGUUGUUCGGAAUUAUUGGGCGUAAAGAGCAUGUAGGCGGUCUGUUAAGUCUGGUGUGAAAGCCCGGGGCUCAACCCCGGAAGUGCAUUGGAUACUGGCAGACUUGAGUAUGCGAGAGGAAAGCGGAAUUCCGAGUGUAGGAGUGAAAUCCGUAGAUAUUCGGAGGAACACCAGUGGCGAAGGCGGCUUUCUGGACCAAUACUGACGCUGAGAUGCGAAAGCGUGGGGAGCGAACAGAAUUAGAAACCCGGGUAGUCC
rnacentral:rRNA from 1 species